rnacentral:lncRNA from 1 species
ACUGGGCAAGCCCUGUUACCACCGCAUGGGAACAGUGGGUGCCAGAGUAGUCAGGAAAGCAGGGGCUCACCCAAGCCCUUCCUGUCUGCAAAGCCAACCUUCUCCAAUCAUCAAAACACCUAUCCCAUUAUAUAAAAAGAAGUAUUGUCUGAUACUACUUUGCAAUUAAAAAUGGAUGUGAUUGAAAGGGAAUGUAUUGUGAUUCCGUCAUUAGGCGCUGUCCUAGCUACUAUUCCUUGCUGUGAAGAGACACCACGACCAAGGCAACUUAUAAAGGAAAGCAUCCAGUCGGUAGCACUGGAGGAGUGGCUGAGAGCUCACAUCCUCUUCCACAAGCAGGGGGCAGAGAGAGAGAGAGCAAGGCUGGACCAAGCAUGGGCUUUUGAAACCCCGAAGUCCACCCUCAGUGACAUACCUCCCCCUAGAAGGCCACACCUCCUGAUCCUUCCUAACAUCCCACCAACUGGGAACCAGUUGCUGAAGAGGCUUUGUAGAAAUUUACAUUCAUCCUAUCUCUGGUCAUCCACAAUUUGACUUUUAUUUUUCUUAUAAAUGAGAGAAGAGGUAGCUCAGUGAGUUAAAAGCAGUUGUUGUUUACAACUGUAAAUACACGAGUAUAACCUUGUUGCAGAAAAACAAAACAAGUUAAAAGUUAUUCAAA